rnacentral:rRNA from 1 species
UACGUAGGGUGCGAGCGUUAAUCGGAAUUACUGGGCGUAAAGCGUGCGCAGGCGGUUUUGUAAGCCAGAUGUGAAAUCCCCGGGCUUAACCUGGGAAUGGCAUUUGGGACUGCAAGGCUUGAGUGCGGCAGAGGAGACUGGAAUUCCUGGUGUAGCAGUGAAAUGCGCAGAUAUCAGGAGGAACACCUAUUGCGAAGGCAGCUCGCUGGGACGUAACUGACGCUGAGACGCGAAAGCGUGGGGAGCAAACAGG